CCUGAUCAUGCAGAGGGCUGUUGUCUGGGACGGUGAUCUCUAGCAUAACACAUUCUGGUACUAUGAAAGCUAGCAACUAGGGAUGAAUCUUCAAGGUACACCCUUUAAAGCACAUAUCUGACUGGAAAUGGAUCUUUCCAAUGUCAGUCUUCAGAAGCAAGUAAGACAUGAAUACAUUUCGUACUUCCGUGCUCUGUUGGUGUGCAUUACUCAGGAGAAUUGGUACCUGAAAGUGCUAACCUCUUUGAAUUUACAAACUUCUCAUUGAGCUAAAUUUCUACAAUGCAGAAAAAACAGGAAAUGGUUGUAACAUGGAGAAAUUUCCACAGGUAGAGGACAGGGGAGCCUGUGUGCUGCUGGUGGGUUUCUUCCAGAAAUAAACUUUCCGGUUGACUCAUAUGCUAGCAUAGCAUAGUAUUUUUAUGGGACUGCUGAGUCUGUAAAUGAGUGGACAUCUGAUUCUUGUGCUUGAUCUUGGGCUUUUUUCCUCUAUGGAUUGCCUUGUGUAGCCUUGAUGUUACAGUUUUUUGUUUUAUUUUGUUUUCUAAAAA